CCUACGGGGGGCUGCAGUGGGGAAUAUUGGACAAUGGGCGAAAGCCUGAUCCAGCCAUGCCGCGUGUGUGAAGAAGGCCUUCGGGUUGUAAAGCACUUUCAGUGGGGAAGAAAGCCUUGGGGCUAAUACCCUCGAGGAAGGACAUCACCCACAGAAGAAUCACCGGCUAACUCCGUGCCAGCAGCCGCGGUAAUACGGAGGGUGCGAGCGUUAAUCGGAAUUACUGGGCGUAAAGCGCGCGUAGGCGGUCUGAUAAGCCGGUUGUGAAAGCCCCGGGCUCAACCUGGGAACGGCAUCCGGAACUGUCAGGCUAGAGUGCAGGAGAGGAAGGUAGAAUUCCCGGUGUAGCGGUGAAAUGCGUAGAGAUCGGGAGGAAUACCAGUGGCGAAGGCGGCCUUCUGGACUGACACUGACGCUGAGGUGCGAAAGCGUGGGUAGCAAACAGGAUUAGAUACCCCAGUAGUC
rnacentral:rRNA from 1 species